UUGGUGAUUCAUAAUAACUUUACGGAUCGCAUCUCUGAUGCGACAUAUCAUUCAAGUUUCUGACCUAUCAGCUUUAGACGGUAGGGUAUUGGCCUACCAUGGCUAUGACGGGUAACGGGGAAUUAGGGUUCGAUUCCGGAGAGGGAGCCUGAGAAACGGCUACCACAUCUAAGGAAGGCAGCAGGCGCGCAAACUACCCAAUCCUGACACAGGGAGGUAGUGACAAGAAAUAACAAUACAGGGCCUAACGGUCUUGUAAUUGGAAUGAGUGAAGUAUAUACCCCUUUACGAGUAUCAAUUGGAGGGCAAGUCUGGUGCCAGCAGCCGCGGUAAUUCCAGCUCCAAUAGCGUAUAUUAAAGUUGUUGCAGUUAAAAAGCUCGUAGUUGGAUUUCUGUUGUAUAAUUUAUAAUAUUACCAAGGUAAUUAUUAUAUUAUCAACAUCCUUCCUAUUAUAUUCUAAAUAUAUAGGAAAUUUUACUUUGAGAAAAUUAGAGUGCUUAAAGCAGGCAACUGCCUUGAAUACUCCAGCAUGGAAUAAUAAGUAAGGACUUUUGUCUUUCUUAUUGGUUCUAGGACAAAAGUAAUCGUUAAUAGGGACAGUUGGGGGCAUUCGUAUUUAACAGCCAGAGGUGAAAUUCUUAGAUUUGUUAAAGACGAACUACUGCGAAAGCAUUUGCCAAGGAUGUUUUCAUUAAUCAAGAACGAAAGUUAGGGGAUCGAAGACGAUCAGAUACCGUCGUAGUCUUAACCAUAA
rnacentral:rRNA from 1 species